GGCGGUUCCGGAAAGAAAGAUGUGAAAUCCCAGAGCUUAACUGGAACUGCAUUUUUAACUACCGAGCUAGAGUGUGUCAGAGGGAGGUGGAAUUCCGCGUGUAGCAGUGAAAUGCGUAGAUAUGCGGAGGAACACCGAUAGCGAAGGCAGCCUCCUAGGAUAACACUGACGCUCAUGCACGAAAGCGUGGGGAGCAAACAGGAUUAGAUACCCUGGUAGUCCACCCCCAACGAUCUUAACUAAGCUGUUGGGGCCUUCGGGCCUUGGUAGCGCAGCUAACGCGUGAAGUUGACCGCCUGGGGAGUACGGUCGCAAGAUUAAAACUCAAAGGAAUUGACGGGGACCCGCACAAGCGGUGGAUGAGUGUAGUUAAUUCGAUGCAACGCGAAAAACCUUACCUACCCUUGACAUGGAAUCCCGAAGAGAUUUGGGAGUGCUCGCAAGAGAACCGGAACACAGGUGCUGCAUGGGCUGUGUCAGCUCGUGUCGUGAGAUGUUGGGUUAGAUCCACAACGAGCACCGCCACUUGUCAUUAGUUGCUACGAAAGGGCACUCUAAUGAGACUGCCGGUGACAAACCGGAGGAAGGUGGGGAUGACGUCAAGUCCUCAUGGCCCUUAUGGGUGAGGGCUUCACACGUCAUACAAUGGUCAGGACAGAGAGGUCGCCCAACCCGCGAGGGAGCCAAUCCCAGAAACCCGAUCGUAGUCCGGAUCGCGGUCUGCAACUCGACUGCGUGAAGUCGGAAUCGCUAUUAAUCGCGGUCAGCAUGUCGCGGUGAAUACGUUCCCGAGGUCUUGUACACCGCCCGUCACACCAUGGGAGUGGGUUUUACCAGAGAAGUAGUUAGCCUAAGUAUGCCGGAGGGCGAUUACCACGGUAGGAUUCAUGACUGGGGUGAAGUCGUAACAAGGUAG
rnacentral:misc_RNA from 1 species